CACGUAGGGCGCAAGCGUUGUCCGGAAUUAUUGGGCGUAAAGAGCUCGUAGGCGGCUUGUCGCGUCGAAUGUGAAAUCUCGGGGCUCAACUCCGAGCUUGCAUUCGAUACGGGCAGGCUAGAGUUCGGUAGGGGAGACUGGAAUUCCUGGUGUAGCGGUGAAAUGCGCAGAUAUCAGGAGGAACACCGGUGGCGAAGGCGGGUCUCUGGGCCGAUACUGACGCUGAGGAGCGAAAGCGUGGGGAGCGAACAGG
rnacentral:rRNA from 1 species